AGCUGCGCGGUGAACACAGAGCGAACUAUUCUUUCGCCUUUUACUAAAGAAUACCGUGUGUUCGCAGCAUUAAGCAGCAUACGCAUGUUUUUGGAGGGUUCACCAUCAACGGUGGUU
rnacentral:snRNA from 1 species